rnacentral:rRNA from 1 species
UACGUAGGGUGCAAGCGUUUAAUCGGAAUUACUGGGCGUAAAGCGUGCGCAGGCGGUUCGUUGUGUCGGCGGUGAAAGCCCCGGGCUUAACCUGGGAAUGGCCGUUGAAACUGGCGAACUGGAGUGUGGCAGAGGGGGUGGAAUUCCGCGUGUAGCAGUGAAAUGCGUAGAGAUGCGGAGGAACACCGAUGGCGAAGGCAGCCCCCUGGGCUAACACUGACGCCUCAGGCACGAAAGCGUGGGGAGCAAACAGG